GCAUCUUUAAUUUUAGUUCUUUGCUCAUCUCUUCAUAUUUCUCUCUAUUUUUUCUCCUCCACUUCUUUCAUUUUCUUCCUGAAUUCGUGUUCUUCUACCAAACUGACACCGAUCGAGACGGCGAUCAUGGUAGCCUGCUAUCAAUCCAUGUAGGAGUUAAUACUCAUCUUUAGGUCAAUACUUAUUGCAUGGACAGUUGGAACCAUCUCAACCAGGUAGCCCCUACCCUAAAAAAAUUAAAUAAUAAAAAUGGCUAAAAAUUAGGAUUGAAUAUAUAUAUAUAUAUAUAUUUUUUAUUGUAACGACUCGUGUCCAGGAUUCAGAUUAGGAUUUGAAAUCUAGAUUCGGUACUUGAUGGACCCGACAUUUACGUGUGACAUAAUCAGGUUACUUACUCGCCUAUGAGAGUGACGCCUUUCAGAUUACUUAUUUCUUGCUUCUGAGAGUCAGCGAUCUGGUUAGAUUACUUACCGCUCGCUUUUGAGACUAAAGAGUUCUUUCAGCAAAAUUUACUCUCAGAAAAAUUUAUACGAUGUCACUCAAUAUAAAA